AUGUUGAGGAUGCAGCAGCAGGUGGAGGGCGUGGUGGGCGGCGGCAUCGUGGCGGAGGCGGAGGAGGCGGCGGUGUACGAGAGGGUGGCUCGCAUGGCCAGCGGCAACGCGGUGGUCGUCUUCAGCGCCAGCGGCUGCUGCAUGUGCCACGUCGUCAAGCGCCUCCUGCUUGGCCUGGGAGUCGGCCCCACCGUGUACGAGUUGGACCAGAUGGGCGGCGCCGGGCGGGAGAUCCAGGCGGCCCUGGCGCAGCUGCUGCCCCCCGGACCCGGCGCCGGCCACCACCAGCAGCCGCCGGUGCCCGUGGUGUUCGUUGGCGGGAGGCUCCUGGGCGGCGUGGAGAAGGUGAUGGCGUGCCACAUCAACGGCACGCUCGUCCCGCUCCUCAAGGACGCCGGCGCGCUCUGGCUCUGA
rnacentral:rRNA from 1 species